rnacentral:lncRNA from 1 species
UCACAGUGAACCGCUAUAGACAUCAUACAAUAGAUGGCCCGCAGCACUACCUACUAACCUCUCUCUAUGGAUCAUCGUGGACUUGCACACGUGCCAUGCAUCACUGUUUCUUUGUAUUUUCCACACACGAGGGGAAACAGCGGACAAAGACCCUCCAACAACAGAUUUCCCUGUCAAGAAUAAGGGCGGUUUAGGGUUUAUAAGGUCACGUGUAAAUCCCA